rnacentral:rRNA from 1 species
UACGUAGGGCGCGAGCGUUGUCCGGAAUUACUGGGCGUAAAGAGCUCGUAGGUGGUUUGUCGCGUUGUUCGUGAAAACCGGGGGCUUAACCCUCGGCGUGCGGGCGAUACGGGCAGACUGGAGUACUGCAGGGGAGACUGGAAUUCCUGGUGUAGCGGUGGAAUGCGCAGAUAUCAGGAGGAACACCGGUGGCGAAGGCGGGUCUCUGGGCAGUAACUGACGCUGAGGAGCGAAAGCGUGGGGAGCGAACAGG